UGGAAGAGCUUGGUCUGGGUGAUGUUGAUGAUCUGGAAGAUGCAUCGGACUGGGACUCAGCCAGUACUGCCAGUAUGGGAGCCCUGUCUGGUCACAGGGUGGCGUCCCCUGUAGUUAAGAAAAUACCAGAGUGCUCCAGUUCAUCUGAUAAGGACCAGGAAAAAGAUGAUGUUACCACAGCAACACUGACGCAUCAGAAGAGCAUCAGCCCAGACAAGACACUGCCCAUCACACACUCUCAAUCUGUUCCCCAGCCCCAACCUCGUACACGGAAGACGGUCCCUCAGAAACUAGAGAGUGAAGAAGGGUCCGCUGACCCCUCACUGAUGGAGAAAGACAGUGAAAUCAUCACAGAAUUUGAAGAGCAGCAACAAAAGGAGAAAGAUGAUGCAGUAGAUAGAAGUGAGUUAGAUCUAAAUAAAUCUGACAAUGGAAAAAAGGAUAACGAGUUUAGAGAUCUUUGCAGUCCUGGAGAAAGCGGUGGCGUGCCAUGGGAAAAACGUUAUGAGAAGCUCUGGGUAGAGGUGGAGAAAAGAGAGGUAAAGUCCACCUUCAAGAGUGUCGCUGGUGAAUUAAAAGAAAAAUUUGGAGAACUGUUUAAAUCAAGACAUGACAUCACAGAAGAACAGGUCACAGCUGGAUCCGCCUCUGCAGAAGAAGAUUCAAGUGAUGAAGAAGAUGGGGAAGUCAUUGAGCGUCCUACUGCGAGAGCAAAAAGCACUGCCCUUCUCACCAUACCUGAGCAGAGAGAGUCUGGACCAGAGGACUCUGCAGCUGAAUCGAAUGCAAACUCCUUAUGCGAGGACAGGAUGCAGGAGCAACCAGCUUGUGAUGGCACCGUCACAAGCCGUGCUGAUCUAAGUCAAACCGAGGAGAAUACUGCAAGUUCAGAAGACGAUCCCAACGAGUUUGCUAUAUGUCAGCCUCCCUUCAGAAGUUCAGCACCUGUUCCCGGUGUUUCUGAUGAAGAGUUGGAAGAGGACAUGGAAAGUUUUAAACUUGAGAUUGGAAAAGGGAGAACAGAAAUCGAGGUUGAGGUACAAAAAUCAAGUACUUCCCAGGUUACUAGUGGAAUAGCAUUGGAGGAAACUGGUAUGGGGAAACCUGAGACCAGCUUAGGAUGCCUGUCAAAUCAAGCUGAAGCACUUGACCAGGAGCAGCAGCCCGAGGCCGCCAUGAGUUUGGCAGCAAGUGGACCAAAGAAGGAUAAGG
rnacentral:lncRNA from 1 species